AUACGGAGGGUGCAAGCGUUAAUCGGAAUCACUGGGCGUAAAGGAUGCGUAGGCGGAUAAUCAAGUCAAAAGUGAAAUCCCACGGCUUAACCGUGGAACUGCUUUCGAAACUGGUUAUCUAGAAUAUGGAAGAGGCAGAUGGAAUUAGUGGUGUAGGGGUAAAAUCCGUAGAGAUCACUAGGAAUACCGAUUGCGAAGGCGAUCUGCUGGGACAUUAUUGACGCUGAGGCAUGAAAGCGUGGGGAGCAAACAGGAUUAGAAACCCCAGUAGUCC
rnacentral:rRNA from 1 species